GCGAUCUCGGGGCAGGGCCGGGAGGCGCCCGAAAGCCCGGCGGUGGGAGUGGGGGAGCCCGGGCCCCCCGCAGGCUUCUUCCCCUGGGCGUCUCCGAGCUGGGGCCCGCAGGAGGUUAAAGUCAGGCCCCACCAUGGACAUGCCAGUUCCCUCCAGCUUCAAUGACAUCAGCCAGGACUGGCGUCUGCGGCAUUUUGUCGGCUGGGUGUGGUACGAACGGGAGGUGAUCCUGCCGGAGCGAUGGACCCAGGACCUGCGCACAAGAGUGGUGCUGAGGAUUGGCAGUGCCCAUUCCUAUGCCAUCGUGUGGGUGAAUGGGGUCGACACGCUAGAGCAUGAGGGGGGCUACCUCCCCUUCGAGGCCGACAUCAGCAACCUGGUCCAGGUAUCCCAAGGGUUACUUUGUCCAGAACACAUAUUUUGACUUUUUCAACUACGCGGGACUGCAGCGGUCUGUACUUCUGUACACGACACCCACCACCUACAUCGAUGACAUCACCGUCACCACCAGCGUGGAGCAAGACAGUGGGCUGGUGAAUUACCAGAUCUCUGUCAAGGGCAGUAACCUGUUCAAGUUGGAAGUGCGUCUUUUGGAUGCAGAAAACAAAGUCGUGGCGAAUGGGACUGGGACCCAGGGCCAACUUAAGGUGCCAGGUGUCAGCCUCUGGUGGCCGUACCUGAUGCACGAACGCCCUGCCUAUCUGUAUUCAUUGGAGGUGCAGCUGACUGCACAGACGUCACUGGGGCCUGUGUCUGACUUCUACACACUCCCUGUG
rnacentral:sRNA from 1 species